rnacentral:rRNA from 1 species
ACAGCAGUAGCCGCGGUAAUACGAAGGGUGCAAGCGUUAAUCGGAAUUACUGGGCGUAAAGCGUGCGUAGGCGGUGAGUUAAGUCUGCUGUGAAAUCCCCGGGCUCAACCUGGGAAUGGCAGUGGAUACUGGCUCGCUAGAGUGUGUCAGAGGAUGGUGGAAUUCCCGGUGUAGCGGUGAAAUGCGUAGAGAUCGGGAGGAACAUCAGUGGCGAAGGCGGCCAUCUGGGACAACACUGACGCUGAGGCACGAAAGCGUGGGGAGCAAACAGGAUUAGAUACCCGAGUAGUCCCUGUCUCUUAUAC